rnacentral:lncRNA from 1 species
GCCGAAGUAAAACUGAUGCUGGAGCUUCAUCCGAACACUUGCAAAAUAAGUCCUCACCGGAGAUGACGUUCUUCGGUAAAGAUUCUCCAAUGCUUAAGUCAGAAAAUGAAGAACAAUGAAAGGAGAGAGCAAGGAGUCGAUUGCGUAUCUUGGAGAGUUCCAGAACCUUAAUUUAUAGAAAAGAAGUUUAAGCCGUAUCCAUCUCAAAGUCCUGAUGAUUUUCAUAUUUGUCGCACAGAUUGAUUCGGAGAAGACAUAUUUUUUUUAUGGAAGACUC